rfam:Oryza rufipogon genomic scaffold, chr12
AAAAAAAGAAAACAUUUGGUUUCCGUGUCCAACUUUGAUUACCCGUCUUAUAUGAAAUUUUUUUAUAAUUCGUAUUUUUAUUGUUGUUAGAUAAUAAAACAUGAUUAAUUAAUACUUUGUGCGUGACUUGUCUUUUUAAUUUUUUUCAUAAUUUUUUCAAAUAAGACGGACGGUCAAACGUUGGGCACGGAAACCAGGGUUUGUCUUUUU